UACGUAGGGUGCGAGCGUUAAUCGGAAUUACUGGGCGUAAAGCGUGCGUAGGCGGUUCGCUGUGUCCGAUGUGAAAGCCCCGGGCUUAACCUGGGAAUGGCAUUGGAAACUGGCGGGCUUGAGUGCGGCAGAGGGGGGUGGAAUUCCGCGUGUAGCAGUGAAAUGCGUAGAGAUGCGGAGGAACACCGAUGGCGAAGGCAGCUCUCUGGGACGGUACUGACGCUGAGACGCGAAAGCGUGGGGAGCGAACAGG
rnacentral:rRNA from 1 species